GGAUUAGAUACCCUGGUAGUCCACGCCCUAAACGAUGCGCACUAGGCUGCGGCAGCUCUGACGCUGUCGCAGCCGCAGAGAAAUCAUUAAGUGCGCCGCCUGGGGAGUACGGUCGCAAGGCUAAAACUCAAAGGAAUUGACGGGGGCUCACACAAGCGGUGGAGCAUGUUGCUUAAUUCGAAGCAACGCGAAGAACCUUUCCAGGGCUUGACAUGCACGGAUUAGCGAUUGGAAACAGUCGUGACGCCCUUCGGGGUGGAACGUGCACAGGUGCUGCAUGGCUGUCGUCAGCUCGUGCUG
rnacentral:rRNA from 1 species